AGGAGCUUACCUCGAAGAAUGUUUCGGUUUCUGUGUACAACUGACUAUUCUGGAUCAUCUGAUAUUCCCAAGGCUUGCACAUCAAACAAUACAGGAUUUGAUAAGCUAUCUGCAACUAAGAGAAUCAUUUUCAAAGGGUCAUCCGCUUCGCAGCACAGAAUCUAAGGAUAAGAGGGGACAGUUUUAGAGAUAGCUUUUGACUGUGCAGCUCCAUCCCAGCCAAGUCAUCGCAGCCGAUGAACGCUGGCCCACCACCAACUUGGGCUAAUUAUUAUAAUGCUUUUGAGCUCAGUCUGGCUAAUGCCUACUGCUGUGGCACCUGAGAAGGAAGACUGCAAUUAGCCAUGCUUUUAUCUUUAUUGAAGACUUGCCUGCCCAGGAGCAUGUGCCAGCCACGUGACUUGCUGGACUGCUGAGGCAAAUGCCUGUGUCAGUAAUGUCUCUGUGGGAUUCAGAGCCAAUUUCCAAUUUGCCUUUCUCUUCUCUCCCAUUUUUGAAGGAAGGCGAAUAAUUUUAAUUCUUUUUGCAAUGUACAUAGAAUAUAAUAAUAUCAAAUAAUCAUUUAAUGUAUCUGUGUCAGUAAUUUAAUCUUUUUAUUAGUGUUUUUCAGCUUAAAAUUCAUAUCAGGGUACAGAAGAAACCACCACGUCAGCAUCCUGUAAUUAAUGUAAAUGUAAAAGACAGCUGAGCUGUGAAUAAGAGGUACCUUGUUAACACCAGAGCUUUCAGCUCAUUUCUCUGUCACUGAAUUUAGCAGUGGAGUAAGCCUUCUGUGGCAUCUAAUGUUGUUCCAUAGAUUCUGCUCUGUGCCCAGUCUACGUGAGCCUUAACAUUCCAAAAGAGAAAGGUUUUGUUGUCCUUGGAGGAUGAUUUCCAUGCUGGUGCAUACCACUCCCAGAAAUCUUAUCUGGAAGUUCUGACUCAGGUUUGCCAUUUUUGGAUUAAAUUAUUUCCCUUUCAAACACUGCCCUUAACAAACUCUUCUUCUUCUUGACAAUUAAGGCUUUUCAAGUGUUAUAUGCCUCUGUAGAAUGCCUGCUUGUCCUGAGUCUGUACAAUGGUCUUUUAAAAUUUACUUAGGGCACAGCUGCACUGUGACAUACCAUAGUGCAAAUAUCCCUGUGGCAAAGCUGAAUGAGCUGGCUCCAAAACUAGGAUUUGUACUUUGGCUAUUUAGUAGAGAGAGACAAGGGCCAUCUUUUCUGGGUUGCUUUGUUCUGUGUCUGCUGAAUUUGAUACAACGGGGUCCUGGUUUGCAGGUAGGCUUUGUAAGCUCUGCUUUCAGGAAAGAAGUAAUGAAUGUGGCAAGAAAGUUGCACGUCGCUUGUACUGCAGUGUUCAAUGCUAAACAAGGGCGUUCAGUGGGGGCAAUGCUGGUUGAAGAAAACUAUAUGAAAUGUGGCUUAGGAAUCAUGGCAUUUGCACCUCAAGUACAGUCAUAUAAAGGAAGUUUCUUGCUUUAUGGAGGUCUGGAUGGUGAUAUUUCACUGAGAGAUGGAGAAGUAACACAGGGAGAAAAGGUCUUUAUGGUGACAUAAAGGCAAGAAGACUGUAGAAGAUGAAUGUGAAUUAAGAAAAAAAAAAACCAGUAGAGAACAGAAGUAUAGGUAUUUUGUGACAGGUAUUGAAUGGGAGGGAGCCUGGGGUUGUAACUUCUAGAGGGACCAGAAACCAUUAGCAGUAGGAAACCAAAGUAGAUUUGAGGGAAAGGAAAGGGGCCGUUAAAGCCUUUCUCUCAGGAAGAUCAAACUACUAUCAUCUGUCAGCAGGAGCAAAAGCUCCUAGAGGUGAAUGUCAUGGGCAAGAUUUUCAAAGUGUUCAUUCCAGCUGCUCCUACUAAAAUCUGGCAAAGCA